rnacentral:rRNA from 1 species
ACAUGCAAGUCGAGCGAGCUUGCCUAGAUGAUUUUAGUGCUUGCACUAAAUGAAACUAGAUACAAGCGAGCGGCGGACGGGUGAGUAACACGUGGGUAACCUGCCCAAGAGACUGGGAUAACACCUGGAAACAGAUGCUAAUACCGGAUAACAACACUAGACGCAUGUCUAGAGUUUGAAAGAUGGUUCUGCUAUCACUCUUGGAUGGACCUGCGGUGCAUUAGCUAGUUGGUAAGGUAACGGCUUACCAAGGCAAUGAUGCAUAGCCGAGUUGAGAGACUGAUCGGCCACAUUGGGACUGAGACACGGCCCAAACUCCUACGGGAGGCAGCAGUAGGGAAUCUUCCACAAUGGACGAAAGUCUGAUGGAGCAACGCCGCGUGAGUGAAGAAGGGUUUCGGCUCGUAAAGCUCUGUUGGUAGUGAAGAAAGAUAGAGGUAGUAACUGGCCUUUAUUUGACGGUAAUUACUUAGAAAGUCACGGCUAACUACGUA